GGGCACGGCGGCCGUGGCCAGAGGAGCAUCUCCUCCACUGCCACCUCCAGAAUCUUGCUGCCCCUUACAUUCACUUAGGAUCAGUUUAAUAGCAUUGGCAUUAGUUAAAAUUUAGGUAGGACAAAGCAAAAUAACUUUAAGAACAGUUGAGUGUGCCAUAUUCUUACCUGAAUAAUUUUCUUCAGGAUCCUCUUCUGUCUGCAAAUUGUUAAAAUAUAUAUCAUGGAUCAAUAUAACAUGGCUUGUUGAAUUUAUAAAGUUAAUUGUUUGACUUGUAAGUGUGGACAACAGUUAAUGUCUGUAAGUGUCAAUGCCUACUAUUGUAGUGACUAUGCAUGGUGAUUUGUUAACUGUGAAAUGUUAUCUUUUUAAAUUUGAUCCAGCUCUACUUGAAGUUAUGUUAGCAUUUCUUCCCAUAUUCUAAGUUAUUUUACUGCAGUUUAGUCAUUGAGCCAUUUCUUGGAGUUCAGAUAAACACAUAACCUCACAUGCACCACAUGUCCUGAUUGUCAAUGAUCCAUAUGGCCAUUAGUUUGACCUAUCAGUCCCAUGAAUUUCACUUUAUAAUUAAGCGAGCAAGAUAAACAGAAAAGCUGCAUCUUUACAGCGCCAAAAUCUCUCCGUGCUCAUCAAAUUCAAAGUGUUCUUAAGUGUAUUGGUGAUUGAAGAGCUUCCCAUCUAUGUUGCUUUGGAAAAUUAAGUGCUCAGUAUAUAAUCUUUUUAGGCUUCCAAAUUUUCCUAAUGUUCUCAUUUCUAGCAGGAAAAGACUGAAAGUAGGAUUCUAACCUGUCAGUUUAUAUCCUUGAAUGUGAAAAAGCCAGUCUAGAAAGUACAUCAGGUUUAACCCAUAAUCCAUUUAUUUGAAAUAUUGUCGUAGUGUAAGCUUUUGAAUUGUUUAUAUCCACAAAUUCUAUCAACACCGUACGAGUAAACUAUGCUACACUUAUUAAUUUUCAAGGGAACUUAUGCUACACAUACUUAGCUACCUAAUGCUUGUAGUUGUGGUUAAAUGGAAAUUCUAAAAGAGAGAAGGACAAAGACAAGCGUAUCUUUGGGUACCCCGAUAUGCAACUAUUUGCAUGAUUUUAAAUGUUACCUUUUACCUACAGCGCUUGGGACAAGAGCCAUUAUUACCAACAGGGCAAUCGAGAUGAUGAACACGGUGAAAAACAGGACGCCAAAAGGCAAAAAAUUACCUAACCAUUAAUGAUAUCAAGGAACGAAGCAGUGAAGGAGAUGGAAACACAUUUGGCAUCAGAAUAUUUUGUUUACUACUAUCCCGUUACCUUUUGGGAACUACGAAUGGAAAGAACAUUGGAGAAUGAUAUUUUGCUCUCCACAAGCUGAUAAUAUGACCCUUGUAUUUUGCUAAUGUGGUACACAAAUCUUUGGUAACAACAUGCUGUUCGUGCAAUGGCAAACACCAAUCUUUUGCCCAGUACAUCUGAAACUACAAUCUUUUGGCCCCUAUGUAAAGUCAGGAUCUUUAUAAAACCAUGUAACAUUUAGAAUUCUGGUGGUUCAAUGCAAUUAUGAUGCUCGCAGAUCA